rnacentral:rRNA from 1 species
AACUGAAGAGUUUGAUCCUGGCUCAGAUUGAACGCUGGCGGCAUGCCUAACACAUGCAAGUCGAACGCGAAAUCACCUUCGGGUGAAAGUAGAGUGGCGGACGGGUGAGUAAUGCUUGGGAAUCUGCCCAGUAGUGGGGGAUAACUCGGGGAAACUCGAGCUAAUACCGCAUACGCCCUACGGGGGAAAGAUUUAUCGCUAUUGGAUGAGCCCAAGUCGGAUUAGCUAGUUGGUAGGGUAAUGGCCUACCAAGGCAAC